AACGAACGCUGGCGGCAGGCCUACACAUGCAAGUCGAACGCCCCGCAAGGGGAGUGGCAGACGGGUGAGUAACGCGUGGGAACCUACCUUUCGGUGCGGAAUAACUUCGGGAAACCAAAGCUAAUACCGCAUACGCCCUACGGGGGAAAGAUUUAUCGCCGAUAGAUGGGCCCGCGUCGGAUUAGCUAGUUGGUGAGGUAAUGGCUCACCAAGGCUACGAUCCGUAGCUGGUCUGAGAGGAUGAUCAGCCACACUGGGACUGAGACACGGCCCAGACUCCUACGGGAGGCAGCAGUGGGGAAUAUUGGACAAUGGGCGCAAGCCUGAUCCAGCCAUGCCGCGUGAGUGAAGAAGGCCUUAGGGUUGUAAAGCUCUUUUAGUGGGGACGAUAAUGACGGUACCCACAGAAUAAGCCCCGGCUAACUUCGUGCCAGCAGCCGCCGUAA
rnacentral:rRNA from 1 species